AAAUUGAAGAGUUUGAUCAUGGCUCAGAUUGAACGCUGGCGGCAGGCCUAACACAUGCAAGUCGAGCGGUAGCACAGAGAGCUUGCUCUCGGGUGACGAGCGGCGGACGGGUGAGUAAUGUCUGGGAAACUGCCUGAUGGAGGGGGAUAACUACUGGAAACGGUAGCUAAUACCGCAUAACGUCGCAAGACCAAAGUGGGGGACCUUCGGGCCUCAUGCCAUCAGAUGUGCCCAGAUGGGAUUAGCUAGUAGGUGGGGUAACGGCUCACCUAGGCGACGAUCCCUAGCUGGUCUGAGAGGAUGACCAGCCACACUGGNACUGAGACACGGUCCAGACUCCUACGGGAGGCAGCAGUGGGGAAUAUUGCACAAUGGGCGCAAGCCUGAUGCAGCCAUGCCGCGUGUGUGAAGAAGGCCUUCGGGUUGUAAAGCACUUUCAGCGGGGAGGAAGGCGAUAAGGUUAAUAACCUUGUCGAUUGACGUUACCCGCAGAAGAAGCACCGGCUAACUCCGUGCCAGCAGCCGCGGUAAUACGGAGGGUGCAAGCGUUAAUCGGAAUUACUGGGCGUAAAGCGCACGCAGGCGGUCUGUCAAGUCGGAUGUGAAAUCCCCGGGCUCAACCUGGGAACUGCAUUCGAAACUGGCAGGCUAGAGUCUUGUAGAGGGGGGUAGAAUUCCAGGUGUAGCGGUGAAAUGCGUAGAGAUCUGGAGGAAUACCGGUGGCGAAGGCGGCCCCCUGGACAAAGACUGACGCUCAGGUGCGAAAGCGUGGGGAGCAAACAGGAUUAGAUACCCUGGUAGUCCACGCCGUAAACGAUGUCGAUUUGGAGGUUGUGCCCUUGAGGCGUGGCUUCCGGAGCUAACGCGUUAAAUCGACCGCCUGGGGAGUACGGCCGCAAGGUUAAAACUCAAAUGAAUUGACGGGGGCCCGCACAAGCGGUGGAGCAUGUGGUUUAAUUCGAUGCAACGCGAAGAACCUUACCUGGUCUUGACAUCCACAGAACUUUCCAGAGAUGGAUUGGUGCCUUCGGGAACUGUGAGACAGGUGCUGCAUGGCUGUCGUCAGCUCGUGUUGUGAAAUGUUGGGUUAAGUCCCGCAACGAGCGCAACCCUUAUCCUUUGUUGCCAGCGGUCCGGCCGGGAACUCAAAGGAGACUGCCAGUGAUAAACUGGAGGAAGGUGGGGAUGACGUCAAGUCAUCAUGGCCCUUACGACCAGGGCUACACACGUGCUACAAUGGCAUAUACAAAGAGAAGCGACCUCGCGAGAGCAAGCGGACCUCAUAAAGUAUGUCGUAGUCCGGAUUGGAGUCUGCAACUCGACUCCAUGAAGUCGGAAUCGCUAGUAAUCGUAGAUCAGAAUGCUACGGUGAAUACGUUCCCGGGCCUUGUACACACCGCCCGUCACACCAUGGGAGUGGGUUGCAAAAGAAGUAGGUAGCUUAACCUUCGGGAGGGCGCUUACCACUUUGUGAUUCAUGACUGGGGUGAAGUCGUAACAAGGUAACCGUAGGGGAACCUGCGGUUGGAUCACCUCCUUACC
rnacentral:rRNA from 1 species